UUGACACAGCUCUGAAUAUUGACAUUGCUGCUUUGGAGUUCAGUGAUUUUUUUCUAAAAGAUACCAACCUCUAAAGUAAUGAAAUUCUACUGUCUAGAAAAGGAUAUAUUGUUAAAACAUAAUUGUUUUUUUCUAUUCAUCUAGUUGCUCUUAGACCAUCAAGAUGCAAUUGCUCCUGAGCACAAUGAUCCAAUUCACGAGCUGCUGGAUGAUCUCGGAGAGGUUCCUACAAUUGAGUCCUUAAUAGGGGAAGGUUCUGGCAAUGUUAAUGACCCCAACAGGGAAAUGCUAGCAAAGACUGAGGUUUCUCUCACACUCACUAAUAAAUUUGACGUUCCUGGUGAUGAGAAUGCAGAGAUGGAUGCAAGGACAAUUCUUUUGAACACAAAACGUUUAAUUGUUGAUGUAAUCCGCUUCCAGCCAGGGGAGACGCUGACUGAAAUUUUGGAAACUUCAGCUACCUCAGAGCAAG